rnacentral:rRNA from 1 species
CCGGCGACCGGCGGACGGGUGCGUAACGCGUAUGUAACCUACCUUUGACAGGGGGAUAACAUCGAGAAAUUGGUACUAAUACCCCAUAACAUCACCGGAGGCAUCUUCGGUGGUUGAAAACUCAGGUGGUCAGAGAUGGACAUGCGUUGUAUUAGCUAGUUGGUGAGGUAACGGCUCACCAAGGCGACGAUACAUAGGGGACUGAGAGGUCAACCCCCCACAUUGGUACUGAGACACGGACCAAACUCCUACGGGAGGCAGCAG